rnacentral:rRNA from 1 species
UGAAGCUGGAAUCGCUAGUAAUCGCGAAUCAGAAUGUCGCGGUGAAUACGUUCCCGGGUCUUGUACACACCGCCCGUCACACCAUGGGAGUUGGGAAUGCCCGAAGCCGGUGACCUAACCGAAAGGGAGGAGCCGUCGAAGGCAGGCUUGAUAACUGGGGUGAAGUCGUAACAAGGUAUC